CAAUAGUGUAUCUUAAUGUUGUUGCAGUUAAAAAGCUCGUAGUUGAAUUUCUGUGGCCCUGUUCCUCCGUUUCGGUGCGAACUGGGGUCACAUCCGCGUUGGAAACUAGAUUGUUCGCAAGAUCAUCUAGGGGAAGGCGCAUUUUACUUUGAAGAAAUUAGAGUGUUCCAGGCAGGCCUUGCUUGAAUAUUACAGCAUGGAAUAAUGGAAGAGGACAGGUCCUUUUAUUUGGUUAUUGGACUUGUAAUGAUUAACAGGGACGAGUUGGGGGUAGUUCGUAUUCAGCAGUCAGAGGUGGAAAUUACUUUAGAUUUGUCUGAAG
rnacentral:rRNA from 1 species